GUCGAACGGUGAAGCAGAGCUUGCUCUGUGGAUCAGUGGCGAACGGGUGAGUAACACGUGAGCAAUCUGCCCCUGACUCUGGGAUAAGCGCUGGAAACGGCGUCUAAUACCGGAUACGAGCUGCGACCGCAUGGUCGGCAGUUGGAAAGAAUUUCGGUCAGGGAUGAGCUCGCGGCCUAUCAGCUUGUUGGUGAGGUAAUGGCUCACCAAGGCGUCGACGGGUAGCCGGCCUGAGAGGGUGACCGGCCACACUGGGACUGAGACACGGCCCAGACUCCUACGGGAGGCAGCAGUGGGGAAUAUUGCACAAUGGGCGAAAGCCUGAUGCAGCAACGCCGCGUGAGGGAUGACGGCCUUCGGGUUGUAAACCUCUUUUAGCAGGGAAGAAGCGAAAGUGACGGUACCUGCAGAAAAAGCGCCGGCUAACUACGUGCCAGCAGCCGCGGUAAUACGUAGGGCGCAAGCGUUAUCCGGAAUUAUUGGGCGUAAAGAGCUCGUAGGCGGUCUGUCGCGUCUGCUGUGAAAACCCGAGGCUCAACCUCGGGCCUGCAGUGGGUACGGGCAGACUAGAGUGCGGUAGGGGAGAUUGGAAUUCCUGGUGUAGCGGUGGAAUGCGCAGAUAUCAGGAGGAACACCGAUGGCGAAGGCAGAUCUCUGGGCCGUAACUGACGCUGAGGAGCGAAAGGGUGGGGAGCAAACAGGCUUAGAUACCCUGGUAGUCCACCCCGUAAACGUUGGGAACUAGUUGUGGGGUCCAUUCCACGGAUUCCGUGACGCAGCUAACGCAUUAAGUUCCCCGCCUGG
rnacentral:rRNA from 1 species